GAAAUGCGAUACGUAGUGUGAAUUGCAGAAUUCAGUGAAUCAUCGAAUCUUUGAACGCACCUUGCGCUCCUUGGUAUUCCUUGGAGCAUGCCUGUUUGAGUAUCAUGAAAUCUUCAAAGUAAAUCUUUUGUUAACUCAAUUGGUUUCUACUUUGGUAUUGGAGGUCUUUGCAGCUUCACACCUGCUCCUCUUUGUUCAUUAGCUGGAUCUCAGUGUUAUGCUUGGUUCCACUCGGCGUGAUAAGUUAUCUAUCGCUGAGGACACUGUAAAAGGUGGCCAAGGUAAAUGCAGAUGAACCGCUUCUAAUAGUCCAUUGACUUGGACAAUACUUUUAUGAUCUGAUCUCAAAUCAGGUAGGACUACCCGCUGAACUUAAGC
rnacentral:misc_RNA from 1 species